rnacentral:piRNA from 1 species
UGUGAAGAAUUGAGUUGGAAUUUUGAC